rnacentral:misc_RNA from 1 species
AGUCGUAACAAGGUUUCCGUAGGUGAACCUGCGGAAGGAUCAUUACCGAGUGAGGGCCCUCUGGGUCCAACCUCCCACCCGUGUCUAUUGUACCUUGUUGCUUCGGCGGGCCCGCCGUUUCGACGGCCGCCGGGGAGGCCUCGCGCCCCCGGGCCCGCGCCCGCCGAAGACCCCAACAUGAACGCUGUUCUGAAAGUAUGCAGUCUGAGUUGAUUAUCAUAAUCAGUUAAAACUUUCAACAACGGAUCUCUUGGUUCCGGCAUCGAUGAAGAACGCAGCGAAAUGCGAUAAAUAAUGUGAAUUGCAGAAUUCAGUGAAUCAUCGAGUCUUUGAACGCACAUUGCGCCCCCUGGUAUUCCGGGGGGCAUGCCUGUCCGAGCGUCAUUGCUGCCCUCAAGCACGGCUUGUGUGUUGGGCCGCCGUCCCCGGUUUCCCCCGGGGACGGGCCCGAAAGGCAGCGGCGGCACCGCGUCCGGUCCUCGAGCGUAUGGGGCUUUGUCACCCGCUCUGUAGGCCCGGCCGGCGCCAGCCGACACCCAACUUUAUUUCUAAGGUUGACCUCGGAUCAGGUAGGGAUACCCGCUGAACCUAAGCAUAU